AGACGAACCGUGCGAACGUUAUUCGGAAUCACUGGGCUUGAAGCGUGCGUAGGCGGCUUGGCAAGUUGGGUGUGAAAGCCCUCGGCUCAACCGAGGAAUUGCGCCCAAAACUGCCAGGCUUGAGGGAGUUAGAGGUGAGCGGAACUGAUGGUGGAGCGGUGAAAUGCUUUGAUAUCAUCAGGAACACCGGAGGCGAAGGCGGCUCACUGGGGCUCUUCUGACGCUGAGGCACGAAAGCUAGGGGAGCGAACGGGAUUAGAAACCCUAGUAGUCC
rnacentral:rRNA from 1 species